rnacentral:misc_RNA from 1 species
AACGCACAUUGCGCUUCCUGGUAUUCCGGGGAGCAUGCUCGUUUCAGAAUCAAUAUGUUCUCACAAACUAUAUGGGUUGCAAAACCCCUAUAGGGCGUGGAUUUGGGCAUUUUUGCGAUGGUGCCUUUGUGCAACAUUGCAAUUGCCUUAAAAUGAUUGCGUGUAUGCCCCAAUUGGUAGUAAUUGGUUUACCCUCAAUGCAACAGUCAAAUGAAACAUUUUGGGGGACCUUUUGUGAACAUUGGACAUGGAAUACACUUCCAUUCUAUACAGCAACCGUCUCUAGUAUUGAGAUUGUUUCUGAACCUUGGUCUGAAAUCGAGCAAGAAAACCCGCUGAACUUAA